rnacentral:rRNA from 1 species
UGCUAUACAUGCAGUUGAGCGCUGAAGGUUGGUACUUCGUACCGACGGGAUGAGCAGCGAACGGGUGAGUAACGCGUGGGGAAUCUGCCUUUGAGCGGGGGACAACAUUUGGAAACGAAUGCUAAUACCGCAUAAAAACUUUAAACACAAGUUUUAAGUUUGAAAGAUGCAAUUGCAUCACUCAAAGAUGAUCCCGCGUUGUAUUAGCUAGUUGGUGAGGUAAAGGCUCACCAAGGCGAUGAUACAUAGCCGACCUGAGAGGGUGAUCGGCCACAUUGGGACUGAGACACGGCCCAAACUCCUACGGGAGGCAGCAGUAGGGAAUCUUCGGCAAUGGACGAAAGUCUGACCGAGCAACGCCGCGUGAGUGAAGAAGGUUUUCGGAUCGUAAAACUCUGUUGGUAGAGAAGAACGUUGGUGAGAGUGGAAAGCUCAUCAAGUGACGGUAACUACCCAGAAAGGGACGGCUAACUACGUGCCAGCAGCCGCGGUAAUACGUAGGUCCCGAGCGUUGUCCGGAUUUAUUGGGCGUAAAGCGAGCGCAGGUGGUUUAUUAAGUCUGGUGUAAAAGGCAGUGGCUCAACCAUUGUAUGCAUUGGAAACUGGUAGACUUGAGUGCAGGAGAGGAGAGUGGAAUUCCAUGUGUAGCGGUGAAAUGCGUAGAUAUAUGGAGGAACACCGGUGGCGAAAGCGGCUCUCUGGCCUGUAACUGACACUGAGGCUCGAAAGCGUGGGGAGCAAACAGGAUUAGAUACCCUGGUAGUCCACGCCGUAAACGAUGAGUGCUAGAUGUAGGGAGCUAUAAGUUCUCUGUAUCGCAGCUAACGCAAUAAGCACUCCGCCUGGGGAGUACGACCGCAAGGUUGAAACUCAAAGGAAUUGACGGGGGCCCGCACAAGCGGUGGAGCAUGUGGUUUAAUUCGAAGCAACGCGAG